UCAAUUGUGGCAGAGUGGUUAGUGUUCUAGACUUCCCCUAGUGUUAGGGGUGGGUUCGAGUCCCAUCAAUGUUU